rnacentral:rRNA from 1 species
AUUGAACGCUGGCGGCAUGCCUAACACAUGCAAGUCGAACGGCAGCACAGUAAAGAUUUCGGUCUUUAUGGGUGGCGAGUGGCGGACGGGUGAGUAAUGCGUAGGAAUCUGUCCUGGAGAGUGGGAUAACCCGAGGAAACUCGGGCUAAUACUGCAUGAUAUCGAGAGAUCAAAGGCAGGGGACCCUUCGGGGCCUUGCGCUCUAGUAUGAGCCUACGUCGGCUUAGCUAGUUGGUGGGGUAAAGGCCGAACAAGGCGACGAUCCGUAGCUGGUCUGAGAGGAUGACCAGCCACACUGGGACUGAGACACGGCCCAGACUCCUACGGGAGGCAGCAGUGGGGAAUCUUGGACAAUGGGGGAAACCCUGAUCCAGCGAUGCCGCGUGUGUGAAGAAGGCCUUCGGGUUGUAAAGCACUUUAGUUGGGGAAGAAAAGUAAUGAGUGAAUAACUGAUUGCUCUGACGGUACCCAAAGAAUAAGCACCGGCUAACUCUGUGCCAGCCGCCGCCGUAA